rnacentral:misc_RNA from 1 species
GACGAACCGGACAAACGUUAUCCGGAAUCAUUGGGUUUAAAGGGUCCGUAGGCGGGAUAAUAAGUCAGCGGUGAAAGUCUGUGGCUCAACCAUAGAAUUGCCAUUGAUACUGUCGUUCUUGAGUGCUUAUGAAGUGGUUAGAAUAUGUAGUGUAGCGGUGAAAUGCAUAGAUAUUACAUAGAAUACCGAUUGCGAAGGCAGAUCACUAAUAAGAUACUGACGCUGAUGGACGAAAGCGUGGGUAGCGAACAGG